AGAUCUGUCAGCUCAAAAAUGGUAGAGCGCUCAAGCCUUUUGUGCUUUUGAGAGGAUGGUGGUUCGAAUCCACCCAGAUCUACUACAGCUGUUGGGCUGCCUUUUAGUGACUGACUUGUAGUUCUUUUUUCCCAUUUGUUUUUAGAUCUUUGGUAUAAGAGCAUUUGCUAACGUAGCGAUAGGGUGGACUUUACAUUUUGGAACUGGUUUCAUCCUAUUAGUAAACUUUUAAUCUCUUACCCUCCGGCUUAGAGGACUUCUGAUUUUAGUCGCAGGC
rnacentral:tRNA from 1 species